GAUGAACGCUGACAGAAUGCUUAACACAUGCAAGUCGAUGGGGAAGGGUAAGCUUGCUUACUUGGUAACCAUGGCGGACGGGUGAGUAACGCGUAAGGAACUUACCUGCGGGACUGGGAUAACGGAGGGAAACUUCUGACAAGACCGGAUAAAGUUACUGGGCAGCAUUGUUUGGUAAUGAAAGGAGACGCCUGCGGAGAGUCUUGCGUCCUAUUAGCUAGUUGGUUGGGUAACGGCUGACCAAGGCGAAGAUAGGUAGCCGGCCUGAGAGGGUGGACGGCCACAAGGGGACUGAGAUACGGCCCUUACUCCUACGGGAGGCAGCAGUGGGGAAUAUUGGACAAUGGGGGCAACCCUGAUCCAGCAAUUCUGUGUGCACGAAGAAGGUUUUCGGAUUGUAAAGUGCUUUCAGCAGGGAAGAAGAGAGUGACGGUACCUGCAGAAGAAGCGACGGCUAAAUACGUGCCAGCAGCCGCGGUAAUACGUAUGUCGCGAGCGUUAUCCGGAAUUAUUGGGCAUAAAGGGCAUCUAGGCGGCCUAACAAGUCAGGGGUGAAAACCUGCGGCUCAACCGCAGGCCUGCCUUUGAAACUGUGAGGCUGGAGUACCGGAGAGGUGGACGGAACUGCACGAGUAGAGGUGAAAUUCGUAGAUAUGUGCAGGAAUGCCGAUGAUGAAGAUAGUCCACUGGACGGAGACUGACGCUGAAGUGCGAAAGCCGGGGGGAGCGAACAGG
rnacentral:rRNA from 1 species